UGGGGAAUAUUGGACAAUGGGCGAAAGCCUGAUCCAGCCAUGCCGCGUGUGUGAAGAAGGUCUUCGGAUUGUAAAGCACUUUAAGUUGGGAGGAAGGGCAGUAAGCGAAUACCUUGCUGUUUUGACGUUACCGACAGAAUAAGCACCGGCUAACUCUGUGCCAGCAGCCGCGGUAAUACAGAGGGUGCAAGCGUCAAUCGGAAUUACUGGGCGUAAAGCGCGCGUAGGUGGUUCGUUAAGUUGAAUGUGAAAGCCCCGGGCUCAACCUGGGAACUGCAUCCAAAACUGGCGAGCUAGAGUAGGGCAGAGGGUGGUGGAAUUUCCUGUGUAGCGGUGAAAUGCGUAGAUAUAGGAAGGAACACCAGUGGCGAAGGCGACCACCUGGGUUCAUACUGACACUGAGGUGCGAAAGCGUGGGGAGCAAACAGG
rnacentral:rRNA from 1 species